GAUGAACGCUGGCGGCGUGCCUAAUACAUGCAAGUCGAGCGAACGGACGAGAAGCUUGCUUCUCUGAUGUUAGCGGCGGACGGGUGAGUAACACGUGGAUAACCUACCUAUACGACUGGGAUAACUUCGGGAAACCGGGGCUAAUACCGGAUAAUAUUUUGAACCUCAUGGUUCAAAAGUGAAAGACGGUCUUGCUGUCACUUAUAGCUGGAUCCGCGCUGCAUUAGCUAGUUGGUAAGGUAACGGCUUAACAAGGCAACGAUGCAUAGCCGACCCGAGAGGGUGAUCGGCCACACGGGAACUGAGACACGGUCCAGACUCCUACGGGAGGCAGCAGUAGGGAAUCUUCCGCAAUGGGCGAAAGCCUGACGGAGCAACGCCGCGUGAGGGAUGAAGGUCUUCGGAUCGUAAAGCUCUGUUAGUAGGGAAGAACAUAUGUGUAAGUAACUGUGCACAUCUUGACGGUACCUAAUCAGAAAGCCACGGCUAACUACGUG
rnacentral:rRNA from 1 species